rnacentral:rRNA from 1 species
AGAGUUUGAUCCUGGCUCAGAAUCAACGCUGGCGGCGUGCCUCAGACAUGCAAGUCGAACGCGAAAGUUCCCUUCGGGGGGCAAGUAGAGUGGCGCACGGGUGAGUAACACGUAGGUAAUCUACCUUUGGAUUGGGAAUAACCACCGGAAACGGUGGCUAAUACCGAAUAAUGCAGCGGCACCUAAUGGUGACAGUUGUUAAAGCGGGGGAUCGAAAGACCUCGCGUCUGGAGAGGAGCCUGCGGCAGAUUAGCUAGUUGGUAAGGUAACGGCUUACCAAGGCGAUGAUCUGUAGCCGGCCUGAGAGGGCGGUCGGCCACACUGACACUGACAUACGGGUCAGACUCCUACGGGAGGCAGCAGUCGGGAAUUUUGGGCAAUGGGCGAAAGCCUGACCCAGCAACGCCGCGUGAAGGAUGAAAUCCCUCGGGAUGUAAACUUCGCAAGAACGGGAAGAAUAAGUAAGAGUUAACAUCUCUUACGAUGACGGUACUGUUUGUAAGCUCCGGCUAACUCCGUGCCAGCAGCCGCGGUAAUAC